rnacentral:rRNA from 1 species
CAAGGAAUUUUCCCCAAUGGCCUGACGGCUGAGGGAGCAACGUCGCGUGCAGGACGACGGCCUUCGGGUUGUAAACUGCUUUUGGGGGGGAAGAUACAGACGGUACCCCCUGAAUAAGCCCCGGCUAACUCCGUGCCAGCAGCCGCGGUAAGACGGAGGGGGCAAGCGUUGUCCGGAAUCACUGGGCGUAAAGCGCGUGUAGGUGGCCCGGUGCGUCGGCGCUGAAGUCUCCUGGCUUAACCAGGAGGGGUGUGCCGAUACGACCAGGCUUGAGGCAGGGAGAGGGUGGCGGAAUUCCGGGUGUAGUGGUGAAAUGCGUAGAGAUCCGGAGGAACGCCUGUGGCGCAAGCGGCCACCUGGCCCUGACCUGACACUGAGACGCGAAAGCGUGGGGAGCGAACC